UACGGGGGGAGCAAGCGUUGUUCGGAUUUACUGGGCGUAAAGGGCGCGUAGGCGGCGUGACAAGUCACUUGUGAAAUCUCCGGGCUUAACUCGGAACGGUCAAGUGAUACUGUCGUGCUAGAGUCCGGAAGGGGCGAGUGGAAUUCCUGGUGUAGCGGUGAAAUGCGCAGAUAUCAGGAGGAACACCAAUGGCGAAGGCAGCUCGCUGGAACGGUACUGACGCUGAGGCGCGAAAAGCGUGGGGGAGCGAACAGG
rnacentral:rRNA from 1 species